rnacentral:tRNA from 3 species
GCGACCGUAGUUCAAUUGGUUAGAGCACCGGCUUGUGAUGCCGGGGGUUGCGGGUUCAAGUCCCGUCGGUCGCCCCA